rnacentral:rRNA from 1 species
GAUGAACGCUGGCGGCGUGCCUAAUACAUGCAAGUAGAACGCUGAAGGAAGGAGCUUGCUCUUUCCGGAUGAGUUGCGAACGGGUGAGUAACGCGUAGGUAACCUGCCUGGUAGCGGGGGAUAACUAUUGGAAACGAUAGCUAAUACCGCAUAACAGUAGAUGUUGCAUGAUAUCUACUUAAAAGGUGCAAUUGCACCACUACCAGAUGGACCUGCGUUGUAUUAGCUAGUUGGUGAGGUAACGGCUCACCAAGGCGACGAUACAUAGCCGACCUGAGAGGGUGAUCGGCCACACUGGGACUGAGACACGGCCCAGACUCCUACGGGAGGCAGCAGUAGGGAAUCUUCGGCAAUGGACGGAAGUCUCACCGAGCAACGCCGCGUGAGUGAAGAAGGGUUUCGGAUCGUAAAGCUCUGUUGUAAGAGAAGAACGAGUGUGAGAGUGGAAAGUUCACACUGUGACGGUAUCUUACCAGAAAGGGACGGCUAACUACGUG